rnacentral:rRNA from 1 species
CAGCAGCCACGGUAAUACGUAGGUGGCAAGCGUUGUCCGGAAUUAUUGGGCGUAAAGGGCUCGCAGGCGGUUUCUUAAGUCUGAUGUGAAAGCCCCCGGCUCAACCGGGGAGGGUCAUUGGAAACUGGGAAACUUGAGUGCAGAAGAGGAGAGUGGAAUUCCACGUGUAGCGGUGAAAUGCGUAGAUAUAUGGAGGAACACCGGUGGCGAAAGCGGCUCUCUGGCUUGUAACUGACGCUGAGAGACGAAAGCUAGGGGAGCAAAUGGGAUUAGAUACCCCUGUAGUCCCUGUCUCUUAUAC